CCAGCACAGCAGCCUGAAGAGGUGCAGCAGGUGCAGCCCCCGCAGGAGGAUGCAGGCCAGGAGCGGACAGAAGAGCAGCUCCGUGCCCGUGGCCGCUUCCGCAGGGCAGCACAGACAUUUAUGAAAUUCAUGCGCAGUCGGCGUAGACAGUCCAGGAUCACACCAGCUGAUGUCCAGGCCCAGCCUGACACCAUCCCGACCCAGCUGA